rnacentral:lncRNA from 1 species
GUGGGUAAUACCCAUGUUUUAGAGUUUGAGGAAAAAAAGAAACAUUAGCAAUGGUCGGUGGAAAUAGAAGGGAAAUCAUAAGAAUGAACUGUUCUGGAAGCCAAAUGUAAAGGUGUAUUAAGGAGAAGGGAGUGUCCACAGAUAAGGGCUGAAAAUGGUUAUUAGAUUCAUCAUUGUAGAGGUAACUUGCAAGCAGGUUCAUUUGAAUGGUGCUGGUGGGGGAACGAUGGUUAGAAUAGGGUCAAGAGUGAAGGGAAAGAAAUGAAUUGCAGAUAGUGAAUAGAGGCAACAUGUAUACAUAAUGCUGCCGUAAUAGGUGGUUGAUAAAUGGGGGAGCAGCUGUAUAGACUGUGUCAUGGUUUGGAUGUGAGGUGUCACCUGAAAACCUCCUGUGUAAUGUAGGGAUGUUUAGAGGUAAAGUGAUUGGACUGUGACAGCUGUGACCUAAUCAGUCCAUCCUAGUUUGAAUGAGUGGGUGGUAACUAGACAGGUGGGUUAUGGGUGGAGGAGGUGGAUCACUGGUAAUGAGCACUGAGAAUGUGUGUUUGCCUUGAGCACAUUCCCCCAUUCUGUGCUGCCUCAUCUUGGGUCUAGAGCAAUGGAAUAUAAAAUCACAACUAUGGAUGAGACCUCUAAAAUCAUGAUCCCAAAGUAACUCUUCCUCCUUUAAGUUGUUCUUGUCAAUAAUUCUGGUCACAGCAAUGUAAAAUCUGACUAAUACAGUGGGACGACACUCUUGGUUUUGUUAAGGAUAGGCGAUGUACAGCUUGUUUUAUGUGUAUGGAAAUUAUGAGAGAGAAA